CAUAGACACAAACAUUUUAUUGUUAUCUUUUGUAGAUAAUGUUAUAUUUACAUAUAGAAACAAUGUCAUUCUUUGCUAGUAAUGUUUACAUCGUCUUCAUGUUCCUCAAUCUUAUCCUUCUCCUUCUUUCCACAUGUGAGGUGGAAGCAGAAGUUUGUAGAAAGAAAAGUAUAACAUGGUUAGGGCUUUGUAUUAAUAACUUGUCUUGUAGUACAACGUGUGUUUCGGAGCAUGCACUAUAUGGUGCUUGUCAAGGUGAUUAUGUUCAUUGCAAUUGCUACUUCACUUGUUGAACACUGAGUUUUUGAUGAAACAAUUCAACCUUUAAUAUUUCUUGUAAAAUAAAGUAAGUGUUUAAGAUCAUAUUGCAUCUAUAGGUUGCUAUUUAUGUUGGCCUUUCAAUUGAACAUGAUAAAAAUGCAAUACUUAAUGUAUAAAUUCAAUUCUCGUUGUAAACUAUUUGAACAUUACUAAGUAGCACUUCAAUUAAGUUUGUAUUUGCUA